UACGGGGGGGGCAAGCGUUGUUCGGAAUUACUGGGCGUAAAGGGCUUGUAGGUGGCCAACUAAGUCAGACGUGAAAUCCCUCGGCUUAACCGGGGAACUGCGUCUGAUACUGGAUGGCUUGAGUGUGGGAGAGGGAUGCGGAAUUCCAGGUGUAGCGGUGAAAUGCGUAGAUAUCUGGAGGAACACCGGUGGCGAAGGCGGCAUCCUGGACCAGUACUGACACUGAUAAGCGAAAGCCAGGGGAGCAAACGGG
rnacentral:rRNA from 1 species